GUGCUCGCUUCAGCAGCACAUAUACUAAAAUUGGAACGAUACAGAGAAGAUUAGCAUGGCCCAUGCACAAGGAUGACAAGCAAACUCAUGAAGCCUUCCAUAUUUUU
rnacentral:snRNA from 1 species